rnacentral:rRNA from 1 species
GAUGAACGCUGGCGGCGUGCCUAACACAUGCAAGUCGAACGAAGCACCUUACCUGAUGCUUCGGAUGAAAGUUUGGCGACUGAGUGGCGGACGGGUGAGUAACGCGUGGGUAACCUGCCCUGUACAGGGGGAUAACAGCUGGAAACGGCUGCGAAUACCGCAUAAGCGCACGAGGAGACAUCUCCUGGUGUGGAAGACUCCGGUGGUACAGGAUGGGCCCGCGUCUGAUUAGCUGGUUGGCAGGGUAACGGCCUGCCAAGGCAACGAGCAGUAGCCGGUCUGUGAGCAUGCACGGCCACACUGGAACUGAGCCACGGUCCCAACUCCUACGGGAGGCAGCGGUGGGGAAUAUUGCACAGUGAGGGAAACCCUGAUGCAGCAACGGCGCGUGAGUGGAGAAGUAUUUGGGUAUGUAAAGCUCUAUUAGCAGAGAAGAGAAUGACGGUACCUGACUAAGAAGCUCCGGCUAACUACGUG